rnacentral:rRNA from 1 species
UAGGGAAUCUUCGGCAAUGGACGAAAGUCUGACCGAGCAACGCCGCGUGAGUGAAGAAGGUUUUCGGAUCGUAAAACUCUGUUGUUAGAGAAGAACAAGGACGUUAGUAACUGAACGUCCCCUGACGGUAUCUAACCAGAAAGCCACGGCUACCUACGUGCCAGCAGCCGCGGUAAUACGUAGGUGGCAAGCGUUGUCCGGAUUUAUUGGGCGUAAAGCGAGCGCAGGCGGUUUCUUAAGUCUGAUGUGAAAGCCCCCGGCUCAACCGGGGAGGGUCAUUGGAAACUGGGAGACUUGAGUGCAGAAGAGGAGAGUGGAAUUCCAUGUGUAGCGGUGAAAUGCGUAGAUAUAUGGAGGAACACCAGUGGCGAAGGCGGCUCUCUGGUCUGUAACUGACGCUGAGGCUCGAAAGCGUGGGGAGCAAACAGG